rnacentral:rRNA from 1 species
GAUGAACGCUGGCGGCGUGCCUAAUACAUGCAAGUCGAGCGAACAGACGAGGAGCUUGCUCCUCUGACGUUAGCGGCGGACGGGUGAGUAACACGUGGAUAACCUACCUAUAAGACUGGGAUAACUUCGGGAAACCGGAGCUAAUACCGGAUAAUAUAUUGAACCGCAUGGUUCAAUAGUGAAAGACGGUUUUGCUGCCACUUAUAGAUGGAUCCGCGCCGCAUUAGCUAGUUGGUAAGGUAACGGCUUACCAAGGCAACGAUGCGUAGCCGACCUGAGAGGGUGAUCGGCCACACUGGAACUGAGACACGAUCCAGACUCCUACGGGAGGCAGCAGUAGGGAAUCUUCCGCAAUGGGCGAAAGCCUGACGGAGCAACGCCGCGUGAGUGAUGAAGGUCUUCGGAUCGUAAAACUCUGUUAUUAGGGAAGAACAAAUGUGUAAGUAACUAUGCACGUCUUGACGGUACCUAAUCAGAAAGCCACGGCUAACUACGUG